rnacentral:rRNA from 1 species
UGGGGAAUUUUGGACAAUGGGGGCAACCCUGAUCCAGCCAUCCCGCGUGUGCGAUGAAGGCCUUCGGGUUGUAAAGCACUUUUGGCAGGGAAGAAACAGCCUGGGCUAAUAUCCCGGGCGACUGACAGUACCUGCAGAAUAAGCACCGGCUAACUACGUGCCAGCAGCCGCGGUAAUACGUAGGGUGCAAGCGUUAAUCGGAAUUACUGGGCGUAAAGCGUGCGCAGGCGGUUCGGAAAGAAAGGUGUGAAAUCCCAGGGCUUAACCGUGGAACUGCACUUUUAACGACCGGGCUAGAGUACGUCAGAGGGGGGGAGAAUUCCACGUGUAGCAGUGAAAUGCGUAGAGAUGUGGAGGAAUACCGAUGGCGAAGGCAGCCCCCUGGGAUGAUACUGACGCUCAUGCACGAAAGCGUGGGGAGCAAACA